CCAACAAAGUUCUAAUUUUCUCAAAAGCCUACGGACAGAUUUGUAUGUUAUUUUAUGGACUUCAAAACAAGCUUAUAACAAUAGAAAUAAUUUCAUUCUAGAUAAAACAUUUAUAUGCAUUUAUAAAACAUAAAACAUUUCGUCUAUGCUUAUUUGAAUUUGCAAAAUAUUUUUUUAGUUUUUGGUUGCUUAUUUUAGAAAACUGCCAUAGUUAAAGUUCUAAAAAAUAGUCGUGCGUACAGCUGGUAAAAUUCAUAAUCAUUUUUACAGGUCUUGUUUCUGGGCGCUAGGUAGACCAGUACCAUACAUUUUCACCCCACUUCCUCUGAUAACUCAAAAAACGGACAAUUUAAAUCAAUUUUAAAACGAGAGAGUCUAAAAAUAAACACGAUGGAACCUAUGUUUAAGCUGUUUUUAAAUCUAUAAAAAGUCAAAAAUAUAAAAAGUUAAAAUUUUAAAACAAACAUAAAAAUAUCAAAAGACUAAGGCAUAUCAAUGUUUUGAUAUUUUGCUGGAUCUUGGAAUGCUACCAACCAACAGUAAACAUACGCUCUACUUAACCCAAAUCGACCAAUUUGAAAUUCAUAAGGACGAUAUGUAUUAAGGAUUGAAGUUCAAUGAAAGGUUUGCCAAUAUAUGUGUGCUUCUAAGAAGAAACAGCUCCAGUGCGAAUAACAUAAAAUGUCUCUUCUUCUUCUUCUUAACAAACUGAAAACAGAAUAAUUUAAAAGAUUUUAAAGAUGUUGGCUCUCCAGCUAACUCAAAACUCAUAACAAUAGCAACAUGACAACAACAACACAACAGAAAGAUGAACAAUAGAAAAACAACAAAAGUUUAGUAAACAUAGCCUGAUGAUGGAACAUGAGUUCUGAAACGCGUCGCUAGUUUUAUUUAUAUCUAAUAAAAAAAAUUGUUUGUAACAUAAAAGUUUAAAAAAAUUGUAAUUUUUUUAAGAAAACUAUAAUCGUUUUUAUUUAAAUAAAAAAAAAAUAAACAUAAAAAUACAUAACAUAGCAAACAUGGAGACAAGGAACACGUCAUCUUUAACGCAAUUCAGUUUGUUCUCCUCUACAAGCCAUUUUGAAUAUGUUUCAGU